UACGGGGGGGGCAAGCGUUGUUCGGAAUUACUGGGCGUAAAGGGCUCGUAGGCGGCCAACUAAGUCAGACGUGAAAUCCCCAGGCUCAACCUGGGAACUGCGUCUGAUACUGGAUGGCUUGAAUCCGGGAGAGGGAUGCAGAAUUCCAGGUGUAGCGGUGAAAUGCGUAGAUAUCUGGAGGAACACCAGUGGUGAAGGCGACUACCUGGCCUGUUCUUGACGCUGAGGCGCGAAAGCUAGGGGAGCAAACGGG
rnacentral:rRNA from 1 species